UUUCCAUACUAAUGUUUGGGAG
rnacentral:siRNA from 1 species